rnacentral:rRNA from 1 species
CGUCUCAGUUCGGAUUGCAGGCUGCAACUCGCCUGUAUGAAGUCGGAAUUGCUAGUAAUCGCGGAUCAGCAUGCCGCGGUGAAUACGUUCCCGGGCCUUGUACACACCGCCCGUCACACCAUGAGAGCCGGGAACACCCGAAGUCCGUAGUCUAACCGCAAGGAGGACGCGGCCGAAGGUGGGUUUGGUAAUUGGGGUGAAGUCGUAACAAGGUACC